AUCACAGAAUAUUAUUUUUCUGAUCGCGUCUCAAUCGCACUAAAGCCGAUCACUGUGCGAGCAAAUAAAAAUCUAAAAAAGUUUAACUUCGAAUCGAGUCUAGAAAAAAAAAAAAAAGUUGUAUAUACACAUGGAAGAGCCCCAGCUGCUCCAUGAAGAUCUGGAACGAAAACUGAAAGUUAAAAACAUUCCAAUCAAACAUAAGCUUGAAGCAGAGGAAAAAUUUUUUGUAGCAGCCAGAGUAGGAAUAGGAACUGACUACUGCUGAAAGUAUUGUAUAGCUGCUUGCUCACAGAUACAGCUCACUGCGAAACAUUAUAAUUUUUUUUUUUCUUUCAGUUUUGUUAUUUGCUUAUUUUAUUCCAGUUUUUCUGUGACGUAAGUCGACGAGAAAUAUACAGACGAAAUUAACAUUAAAAGAUAGAAGAGAAGGUAGUACUAAGAAACAAAAAAGCCUCUUUGGAAUGAUGGCGCGUGGUAGCUCAUAUAUAGGUACCUUUAAGAUGCAGAAGCUUGCUUGGAAAUGUUUAACCAAGUUUAUAAAGAAACCAAACGAAUAUAAUAUUCAGAUUGAUACCGAUGAUGUUGAUGAUGAUCGGACGAGUUGUUGUGAAGCUAGCUGUAGGUUAUGCUAAUUAUAGCUGGAAUGAUUGUGGCUAUAAGGAAACAGGAACGGAAUGAGGGUUUAAAUUUGUUGGGGCUCUUGGAAAACUGCAAUUU